rnacentral:rRNA from 1 species
AACGAACGCUGGCGGCAUGCCUAACACAUGCAAGUCGAACGAGACCUUCGGGUCUAGUGGCGCACGGGUGCGUAACGCGUGGGAACCUGCCCUUAGGUUCGGAAUAACUCCCCGAAAGGGGUGCUAAUACAGGAUAAUGUCUUCGGACCAAAGAUUUAUCGCCUUUGGAUGGGCCCGCGUUGGAUUAGCUAGUUGGUAGGGUAAAAGCCUACCAAGGCGACGAUCCAUAGCUGGUCUGAGAGGAUGAUCAGCCACACUGGGACUGAGACACGGCCCAGACUCCUACGGAAGGCAGCAGUGGGGAAUAGUGGACAAUGGGCGAAGGCCUGAUCCAGCAAUGCCGCGUGAGUGAUGAAGGCCUUAGGGUUGUAAAGCUCUUUUACCCGGGAUGAUAAUGACAGUACCGGGAGAAUAAGCUCCGGCUAACUCCGUG